AACUCAAAGGAAUUGACGGGGGCCCGCAACAAGCGGAGGAACAUGUGUUAAUUCGAUGAUACGCGAGGAACCUACCCGGGCUUGAACUGCAGCGGAAGGAUACAGAGAUGUUGACGCCCUUCGGGCCGCUGUGGAGUGCUGCAUGUGUCGUCAGCUCGUGCCGUGAGGUGUCGGCUUAAGUGCCAUAACGAGCGCAACCCCUUUCUUCAGUUGCCAUCAGGUCGAGCUGGGCACUCUGGAGACACUGCCACCGUAAGGUGUGAGGAAGGUGGGGAUGACGUCAAAUCAGCACGGCCCUUACGUCCGGGGCUACACACGUGUUACAAUGGGUGGUACAGAGAGUUAGUGCAAUGCAAAUUGUAUUCAAUCAUGAAAGCCAUCCUCAGUUCGGAUUGGGGUCUGCAACCCGACCCCAUGAAGCUGGAUUCGCUAGUAAUCGCGCAUCAGCCAUGGCGCGGUGAAUACGUUCCCGGGCCUUGUACACACCGCCCGUCAAGCCAUGAAAGCCUGGGGCGCCUGAAGUCCGUGACCGCGAGGGUCGGCCUAGGGUGAAACAGGUGAUUGGGGCU
rnacentral:rRNA from 1 species